rnacentral:rRNA from 1 species
AAGACCACGAGUUAUGAUCCAGAGUACCACGAGACACGUGAAACCUUGUGGGAAGCAGGGAGGACCACCUCCCAAGGCUAAAUACUACCUGAUGACCGAUAGUGAAGCAGUACCGUGAGGGAAAGGUGAAAAGAACCCCGGGAGGGGAGUGAAAUAGAACCUGAAACCGUGUGCCUACAACCGCUCAGAGCCCCUUAUGAGGGUGAUGAGGUGCUUUUUGUAGAACGAGCCAACGAGUUACGGUAUGUAGCAAGGUUAAGUACUUAAGGUACGGAGCCGAAGGGAAACCGAGUCUGAAUAGGGCGACUAGUUGCAUGCCGUAGACCCGAAACCGGGUGACCUAUCCAUGGCCAGGUUGAAGCGAGGGUAAAACCUCGUGGAGGACCGAACCACGUUGCUGUUGAAAAAGCAUGGGAUGAGCUGUGGAUAGCGGAGAAAUUCCAAUCGAACCCGGAGAUAGCUGGUUCUCUCCGAAAUAGCUUUAGGGCUAGCGUCGAGUAUGAGUAGUGGAGGUAGAGCACUGAAUGGGCUAGGGGGCAUAGCGCUUACCGAACCUUAUCAAACUCCGAAUGCCACAUACUUUGAGCUCGGCAGUCAGACUACGAAUGAUAAGAUCCGUGGUCAAAAGGGAAACAGCCCAGAUCGUCAGCUAAGGUCCCAAAGUGUAAGUUAAGUGGGAAAGGAUGUGAGAUUUCUAAGACAACUAGGAUGUUGGCUUAGAAGCAGCCAUUCAUUAAAAGAGUGCGUAAUAGCUCACUAGUCGAGAGAUCUUGCGCCGAAAAUGUAACGGGGCUAAACUUACC